AUGAACGCUGGCGGCGUGCUUAACACAUGCAAGUCGAACGAAGCACUUUAACCUGAUUCUUCGGAUGAAGGUUUUUGUGACUGAGUGGCGGACGGGUGAGUAACGCGUGGGUAACCUGCCUCAUACAGGGGGAUAACAGUUAGAAAUGACUGCUAAUACCGCAUAAGACCACAGAGCCGCAUGGCUCGGUGGGGAAAACUCCGGUGGUAUGAGAUGGACCCGCGUCUGAUUAGGUAGUUGGUGGGGUAACGGCCUACCAAGCCAACGAUCAGUAGCCGACCUGAGAGGGUGACCGGCCACAUUGGGACUGAGACACGGCCCAAACUCCUACGGGAGGCAGCAGUGGGGAAUAUUGCACAAUGGGGGAAACCCUGAUGCAGCGACGCCGCGUGAGCGAAGAAGUAUUUCGGUAUGUAAAGCUCUAUCAGCAGGGAAGAAAAUGACGGUACCUGACUAAGAAGCACCGGCUAAAUACGUGCCAGCAGCCGCGGUAAUACGUAUGGUGCAAGCGUUAUCCGGAUUUACUGGGUGUAAAGGGAGCGUAGACGGCUGUGUAAGUCUGAAGUGAAAGCCCGGGGCUCAACCCCGGGACUGCUUUGGAAACUAUGCAGCUAGAGUGUCGGAGAGGUAAGUGGAAUUCCCAGUGUAGCGGUGAAAUGCGUAGAUAUUGGGAGGAACACCAGUGGCGAAGGCGGAUUGCUGGACGACAACUGACGGUGAGGCGCGAAAGCGUGGGGAGCAAACAGGAUUAGAUACCCUGGUAGUCCACGCCGUAAACGAUGAGUGCUAAGUGUUAGGGGGUUUCCGCCCCUUAGUGCUGCAGCUAACGCAUUAAGCACUCCGCCUGGGGAGUACGACCGCAAGGUUGAAACUCAAAGGAAUUGACGGGGACCCGCACAAGCGGUGGAGCAUGUGGUUUAAUUCGAAGCAACGCGAAGAACCUUACCUGCUCUUGACAUCCCGGUGACCGGCAUGUAAUGAUGCCUUUUCUUCGGAACACCGGUGACAGGUGGUGCAUGGUUGUCGUCAGCUCGUGUCGUGAGAUGUUGGGUUAAGUCCCGCAACGAGCGCAACCCUUAUCUUCAGUAGCCAGCAAUUCGGAUGGGCACUCUGGAGAGACUGCCAGGGAUAACCUGGAGGAAGGUGGGGAUGACGUCAAAUCAUCAUGCCCCUUAUGAGCAGGGCUACACACGUGCUACAAUGGCGUAAACAAAGGGAAGCGAGCCUGCGAGGGUAAGCAAAUCUCAAAAAUAACGUCUCAGUUCGGAUUGUAGUCUGCAACUCGACUACAUGAAGCUGGAAUCGCUAGUAAUCGCGAAUCAGCAUGUCGCGGUGAAUACGUUCCCGGGUCUUGUACACACCGCCCGUCACACCAUGGGAGUUGGUAACGCCCGAAGUCAGUGACCCAACCGUAAGGAGGGAGCUGCCGAAGGUGGGACCGAUAACUGGGGUG
rnacentral:rRNA from 1 species